rnacentral:rRNA from 1 species
UACGUAGGGGGCUAGCGUUGUCCGGAUUUAUUGGGCGUAAAGAGCGUGUAGGCGGCCAGGUAGGUCUGCUGUGAAAACUCGAGGCUCAACCUCGAGACGUCGGCGGAAACCAUCUGGCUAGAGUCCGGAAGAGGAGAGUGGAAUUCCUGGUGUAGCGGUGAAAUGCGCAGAUAUCAGGAAGAACACCCGUGGCGAAGGCAGCUCGCUGGGACGACACUGACGCUGAGACGCGAAAGCGUGGGGAGCGAACAGG